rnacentral:lncRNA from 1 species
CUGGAAAAUGUAGCUGAAAUGCUCAUCAUUCUCACAAGCAUGUCCCCUCCUCAGGUCGCCAGAACCUGGUUUGCUGGUCCACCACAGAAUUCUUUUAGCUUUUGUCUUUUCCAUUAUGCAUCUGGAAUAUUAUUUCUCUCCCAAAGCUUUAGGUAGCUGGUUUUCUUAAAACAAGUGAGAAAAAGCUAAUUAAAAUGAGCCAAAGUAGAAAAGAUACUGAACAGUUAAGAUCUGAGCUAGUUUAUCCAGCUUUACAAAAUCUUACUUACCUUGAAUAAUAUUUCCAUGUUUCUUCUCAUUCUUCCUAUGUAUUCAUACAUCAAAUCAACAUGCCAUGACUUGCUCUAGUAAAGUGGAACUGAAGGUCAAGAAUCCAAUCACCUGGUAGCCACAGGGACACUUUUGUGUGUAACACUUGACUGGGUAACAGAUGGAAUUUGGGUUAUGGAAUCUGUCAGAGCCCACAGUGGUCUUCACCAUAAUUCUCUCAACAGAAGCAUGGCUGCUCAUCUGUAAAGCCCCUGUCUACCUUCACCGGUUCCCUCAGGCACAUUCCAAGACUUGAGGAGCUGGUGGGACCUACGUGCACCUGGCUUUCCACUCUCCUGUGUCAGAACUUCCUUCCUGUGACUCACAGGUGCAAGUCCUGGGCUAAUGAGUCCCAGAGGAGGCCAGAACUUCCAGAGUCAGAGGUUUGUGGAGCCCGACGAGCUCCUCUGCGGUGUCCCGGUUCCUGUGGUGAUUGGAUUGUCUGCUCUGAGUUGAAGCCUCUCCAGCGGUUGUCUUUUCCAGACUGUCAGCUCCUCAUGCCUGCUCUGCCUUGUCCACAAAACUCAGGCCUGUGUGCUGAUUCCUGACCACUUCUGGGAAUUACUGAAGAUGCCUGGAUGGAGGGUGUGUGAGGAUGAGAGGAAGGAUCCCAGCAUCUUUCUCUUAGAGGCCAGUAAGACAGGCAGGCGAGGCGGCAGCCUGCAAGCAGGAGCCCCGGGCAGUCGCUCCAGCCAGGAACCUGGUGCAGACAAUGGUUCAGCCAGUACCUGCAGUUUCCAGGAAAAUCAAUUUAGAUGACAAAAUCAAAAAGGUGGAAUUGGAAUGAAGGAAAUGGCCCAGAGCUGAGUGUCUUCAAAGGGAACUGGGGCUUUCAGGCAAGGAUUUCAUGUUUUAACAAUUAAAAUAUUUUAUUAGCACCUGUUUGCGGUAUACGAUGUUUACGUUCACCUUAGGGAGUAGAUACAUUUACUGGAUGUAU